rnacentral:misc_RNA from 1 species
UACGGAGGGAGUUAGCGUUGUUCGGAAUUACUGGGCGUAAAGCGCGCGUAGGCGGAUGUUCAAGUCGGGGGUGAAAUCCCGGGGCUCAACCCCGGAACUGCCUCCGAUACUGGACGUCUGGAGGACGGAAGAGGCGAGUGGAAUGCCGAGUGUAGAGGUGAAAUUCGUAGCUAUUCGGCGGAACACCCGUGGCGAAGGCCGCUCGCUGGUCCGUUUCUGACGCUGGGGCGCGAAAGCGUGGGGAGCAAACAGG